UACGAAGGGGGCUAGCGUUGUUCGGAAUUACUGGGCGUAAAGCGCGCGCAGGCGGUCUUCCAAGUCAGUGGUGAAAGCCCGGAGCUCAACUCCGGAAUUGCCAUUGAAACUGUUAGACUUGAGGAUGAGAGAGGUGAGUGGAAUUCCCAGUGUAGAGGUGAAAUUCGUAGAUAUUGGGAAGAACACCGGUGGCGAAGGCGGCUCACUGGCUCAUUUACUGACGCUCAGGCGCGAUAGCGUGGGGAUCAAACAGG
rnacentral:rRNA from 1 species